GAUGCAGUGACAGAUCUAAAAUGGACAUUCCCAUUGCCUACGGAUGUGUUUCAGAAAAAGGUCUUAACCCUGCUGUUUGACCUGCGCGAUCAGUACAAAAAAGCAGAACCUGCCUCUUCAGCCGUGCACAUUUUGAGGAUGGAGACUAUGGUGGAUUUUGAGGCAGAGGAGCAACGCCUCUGUGAUGCGCAAGCUUUUGAUACCCUGGUGCUGCAAAUUGCACGUAUUGGAGGGAAAAACACCAAGGAUUGUGUCCACAAAGUCCUUGACCGGCUCUUCAGUAAUGCCCUGAUGGCGAGGUUUAAUAUGAAG